GGGGCUGAUAUGGUUUCGACGGGAAUAGUAGAGCAUAGAUGGCAGGUCGAAUGUCCACGUCACGGGCACAAAAAAAUAAAUGCAAAUAAAUUAAAAAAUGCUGUUGCUAACAUGUUUGGCGGACGUCAAGCUGUUGCAUACGCUCUUUAAUAAGACGAGCCAGCGCUUCUUUUUAAUCUUUACCUAGGGAUUAUUUAGAGGUUCAUUUUUAUAGGUUAUGUCUAUCUUUUGUCUAGAAGAUAGAAUGAAUUGUUAGACUCGUAUAUUUUCUUGGUCGUUAAUUACUUGGAAAGUAUAUUAAAAUAAUUAGUUAACUAAGCUUGUAGAAGUUUAUGUAGCUCUAUUUUCGGACAGGAGUUCGAUUCUCCUCAGUUCCACCA
rnacentral:tmRNA from 1 species